AACCUUGUUUGACCAUUGAUG
rnacentral:misc_RNA from 1 species